AAUCAACACUCCACUCAGACAAUGCCCAGACCUCCAGAAACCAUGUGUCAAGCUCGGAUUGCCUUAGACAGGUGCAAUUUAAGAACAGCUUUCAUCCUCUUUUCUCUCAUAUUGUCACACUAUGUGUUCUGACUUCUGGCUCCUUUCCUCACAAGAAGCUCACCCAGCUGGAACUCUUAUGGGACCUUGGCACCAGAGACCACAAAUUCCUCUUUGAAGUUUUCUAACAGCAACAAUGGUAUUUCUGACUUGGCUUUCUUGUAUUUCUCUCACGUUAACAAAAUUGGUUCAGCAUCUACCAUGGGCUACAUGCUGAGCUACAGAGUUUCGCUCUGUCGCCCAGGCUGGAGUGCAGUGGCGCGCGAUCUCGGUUCACUGCAAGCUCCACCUCCCGGGUUCACGCCAUUCUCCUGCCUCAGCCUCCUGAGUAGCUGGGACUACAGGCGCCCGCCACCACACCCAGGAAUCCAACUUGCUGUUUGCUAUCACAUGUGCUAUACAUGCUGUUGAUGAAACUGCUAAAGGGGCUGAAUGUGACUGACGUCUUUGGAAGGAUGAGACUUAGCGUGCCUGUACAGUUGUGUCCAAAUGCUGUCCUCAUCUCCCAAUGAAAAGGGUUUUUCCUUAAGCCUCACAACAAUUUACAGCAUUGCCAGCAGCAUUCAGUACAUUCAGAACAGGAUAAUUUCACCCGCAGCUGAACUAGGGCCAUGCCUGGGACAGACAGAGAAUGGCCUUCCAGCAGACAUGCCAAGAAGCAAGCCAGGGUCAGUGAGUGAAGAGGAGGGCAGGCCCAUUUGAAGCAACACAGUUUAUAUACAUGAAAAGAAAGAAGGAGAGAAGGAAGAAAGGAGGGCGGAAGGAAAGGAAGAAGGGAGAGAAGAAGAGAAGAAAGAAGCAGAGAAAGGAAGAGAAAAGAAAUUACGGCCAGUGCGGUGGCUCACGCCUGUAAUCCUAGCACUUUGGGAGGCCUAAGCGGGCUGAUCACCUGAGGUCAGGAGUUCGUAAGCCAGCCUGGCCAACAUGGUGAAACCCUAUCUCUACUAAAAAUACAAAAAUCAGCAGGGCAUGGUGGUGCGUGCCUGUAAUCCCAGCUACCUGGGAGGCUGAGGUAGGAGAAUCGCUGGAACCCGAGAGGCGGAGGCUGCAGUGAGUUGAGAUCAUGUCACUGCACUCCAGGCUGGGCAACAGAGUGAGACUCUGUCUCAGAAAAAAAAAAAAA
rnacentral:lncRNA from 1 species